rnacentral:rRNA from 1 species
GAUGAACGCUAGCUACAGGCUUAACACAUGCAAGUCGAGGGGCAUCAUGGAGUUUGCUUGCAAACUCUGAUGGCGACCGGCGCACGGGUGAGUAACGCGUAUCCAACCUUCCCUAUACUAGAGAAUAGCCCGGCGAAAGUCGGAUUAAUACUCUAUGUUGUAUUUCGAGGACAUCUGAAGAAUACCAAAGGUUUACCGGUAUAGGAUGGGGAUGCGUCUGAUUAGGUUGUUGGCGGGGUAACGGCCCACCAAGCCGACGAUCAGUAGGGGUUCUGAGAGGAAGGUCCCCCACAUUGGAACUGAGACACGGUCCAAACUCC